rnacentral:rRNA from 1 species
GUGAAAAAAGAGAAAGGGUAGAGACGAGCGCUCUUCUCCUCUCAUCUUUGUACAGACAUAAAGAACGUAACAACACACCCAUCUCAAGGACAGUGUCGGGAGGUACGACACUAGAAGUAAAAGACUCCUGCUGCCACUACCGCCGAUGUUCAACUACUACUGCUACUAGGAGCUUCUUUACCUCUUCUUCCUCCUCGUAUACCACAGUUGAAAUCCCCAAAACUGUGGCCCGUCGUGUUGACAAACGGCCCGAUAACAAGACACAUGUACGAUUAUACACCUUAGGGCUCUGUAAUACUCUCCAUUAUUAACGUACGGACUAGUACGUGCUGUUAUAACACCAGCAGGCCUCUCCAGCCUGCCGAUCUAUUCCAAUCCAAAAAAAAAAACCUAUUCAAUCUAUUCCAAAAAAGAUUAUUUCUGUGAAUUUCGCGU